AUGUCCGUACAUGGUAUUGUACAGCUCACCUCUCUCAAAAGCGCCUGGCUUGCAGUCCUGGGAUUUUUGGUAUUUGAUGAGUACAAAAUACCACCUUCUAAUGUCAAAAAUUCCAUUGAAAAAGACAACGGAAAAAGAAGCUUUGGGGUUUCCUCAUCUCUGUUGAACCUCUACAGUCAGGUGAACUGGGGUCAAUGUGGGCUUGUGUGGUCCAGCCAGCCUCCGUCAUGGCUAAUGGGGAGAACAACCUUGUCAGGAGAACAGACAGGCUUAAACCUGAAUGCUGGGGACACCUGGGUGGCUCAGUGGUUGAACGUCUGCCUUCGGCUCAGGGUGUGAUCCCGGGGUCCUGUAUUAGGCUCCCAAAGGGAGCCUGCUUCUUCCUCUGCCUGUGUCUCUGCCUCUCUCAGUGUGUCUCUCAUGAAUAAAUAAAUAAAAUCUUAAAAAAAAAAAAAAAAAAAAAACCUGAAGGCUAAGUCAAGGACAAAGAUGACUUUCAGGUGACAAGGGUCUAUAUUUCAAGUCAAAAGUCUCAAGAUCUUGAGAAACGCCUGUCCACUUUCCGUCUCCUGAGAAAGGUACAGCCUCCUCAUUAGAGGUCUGGAAACCCCCACUGCAGCCCACCACUUGCAAGGAUGGGUUACAGGACUGGUUUGUCAAACAUAGUUAUGUCUGCUGACAAGAAACCAGUUAUGUAAAGAUGGGAGAAAUAAAAAUGCUGCACCAUUUUCCAGAACAAAAUCUGCCUCGAAAAAGGUGUAACUCCCUGCAAAAUAUGCUUCAUCAUUUGAAUAACAAAAUAAGAUAUGCAAAAAAAGUAAGACUUCUCGAAGAGAGUCUGCAUUCAAGUUGCAGUGAGUACAAGCAAUAUGAUGAAUAUUCUUUGUGCGAUAAAUGUUUUGUGAGAAAAUAAUGUGUUUUAGAAAUGGAGCAGAGAUAAUACUAGAGACUUUGCUUUAGCGACUAUCAAAUAACUUUCCAGGCAGGUUUUCCUAUUUCUUACGUAUUCCUGGAGUUCAUGGUGAAAGCUGCCAUUAAAAUUCAUUAGAUGAAAAGUAAACUUAUAUUACAAUUGAUGACAUUCUCUUCUAAAUUGUUAGCCCUAUUAGUGAGAAACCUCUCAUCUGCCAAACUCUAUCUAUGGUGUGUGCUCUUCUCUUGCAUUUUAAUCUAAGAAAUGUGCCUUAAAUGUUGAUUUUUUUUUUCUUCACGCGCCACAUAUCACACAGAGCAUUCUACAAACUAUCCUGCAUUCCACAAACUAUCCUGAGAUGCUUCCUGACUUUUAGAAACAGGAUGCUGAUGUUGCAAGGAAAUUCUUCUAUUCCAGGCGUCAAGGUUGGAAAAAUUACUUAAGGAUGACAGGAAAAGAUUUUUUUUUUUUUAUGUGCCUGGUUCCUAAGGCCUGAAACAGCAAUUCAUUCAGCUGAAGAAAUUCCCUGCGAGCUUUUCUUAGAGCCCCCUGAAAAGCAUCUGUGAGGCCUCUUCUUCGGUUGAAAGCAAUUCAAGAGCAGCAGAAGUGGAGAGGAAGCUCUGUCUGGGUCUGCUUGAUCCUCAGACACUGUUCCUUUGCAGCCGGACGCUCCCGCCAUGCCUCCCAAGGAUUAGAUCCGGACAACAGAAAAUGGCCGACAUCCUCUCAUUGAUGCAGAGACUGAAUCCCUGCUACAGACUGAGUGUCUGUGUUCCUCCCUCCUUGGAAUUCCAAUAGUGAAGCCCCAACACUCAAUGUGAUGGUGUUUGAAGGUGAGCCCUUUGGGAGUUAAUUAGGUUUAGAUGAGGUCAUGAGGUAGGACCUUCAGACCUUCCUUAAAACUGCUAGUCCUGAUCAGAAGAGGAAGACAGACCAGAGCUUGCUCGCUUGCUCUCUUUCUCCCUGCCAUGUGAGGCAGCCAUCUCCGAGCCAGGAAGAAGGGUCUCACCAGAAACCAAACCUGCCAGCACCUUGAUCUCAGACUCACAGAUUCCAGGACUGUGAGAAAUAAAUAUUUGUUGUUUAAGCCACCCAGUCUGUAGUAUUUUUGUUACCGCAGCCAGAGCUAAGAUAAUCCUUCAUCCACAAAGUGUGGCAUGAUCAUUUCUUCUUUAUGAAUCACCCCAUCUGUGGUAAC
rnacentral:lncRNA from 1 species